rnacentral:rRNA from 1 species
AGACUUCGGUCUCGUUGGUGACCAGCGGAGGGUCAUUACCGAGUUUACAACUCCCAAACCCCUGUGAACAUACCAAUUGUUGCCUCGGCGGAUCAGCCCGCUCCCGGUAAAACGGGACGGCCCGCCAGAGGACCCCUAAACUCUGUUUCUAUAUGUAACUUCUGAGUAAAACCAUAAAUAAAUCAAAACUUUCAACAACGGAUCUCUUGGUUCUGGCAUCGAUGAAGAACGCAGCAAAAUGCGAUAAGUAAUGUGAAUUGCAGAAUUCAGUGAAUCAUCGAAUCUUUGAACGCACAUUGCGCCCGCCAGUAUUCUGGCGGGCAUGCCUGUUCGAGCGUCAUUUCAACCCUCAAGCCCUCGGGUUUGGUGUUGGGGAUCGGCGAGCCCUUGCGGCAAGCCGGCCCCGAAAUCUAGUGGCGGUCUCGCUGCAGCUUCCAUUGCGUAGUAGUAAAACCCUCGCAACUGGUACGCGGCGCGGCCAAGCCGUUAAACCCCCAACUUCUGAAUGUUGACCUCGGAUCAGGUAGGAAUACCCGCUGAACUUAAGCAUAUCAAAAACCCCGGAGGAAA